rnacentral:rRNA from 1 species
GUGGGGAAUCUUGUGCAAUGGACGAAAGUCUGACACAGCCACGCCGCGUGCGGGAAGAAGGCCUUCGGGUUGUAAACCGCUUUCAGCAGGAACGAAAAUGACGGUACCUGCAGAAGAAGAUGCGGCCAACUACGUGCCAGCAGCCGCGGUGACACGUAGGCAUCAAGCGUUGUCCGGAUUUAUUGGGCGUAAAGAGCUCGUAGGCGGUUUAGUAAGUCGGGUGUGAAAACUCUGGGCUUAACCCAGAGCCUGCACUCGAAACUGCUAUGACUAGAGUUCGGUAGGGGAGUGGGGAAUUCCUGGUGUAGCGGUGAAAUGCGCAGAUAUCAGGAGGAACACCGAUGGCGAAAGCACCACUCUGGGCCGAAACUGACGCUGAGGAGCGAAAGCGUGGGUAGCAAACAGGAUUAGAUACCCGAGUAGUCC